GGACUCCUCGACCAGCACUAGUGCCUCUGCCUUCAGGUCACUGCUGCCGAGUAUGGGGGUAAUGUGGGGGAGUGAGCUGAAUCAAAACUGGGUGAACACUGGUCAGUGGUGACACAAGGAGUUUUUAUAUUAAGAGGGAGGCAGGAGGAAGAUCAAAGACGAUGGAAGCAGAGAUGCCACGAACCAAGAAAAGCAAGGGGCUCCCAGAACUGGAAAAGGCAAAGAAAAGGAGUCUUCAGAAGUAACACAGGCCUGC
rnacentral:lncRNA from 1 species